rnacentral:lncRNA from 1 species
UUCAAUAUUUCAUAAACAUUCACUAUUUCAUAAGCACUCACUAGCUCAUAAGCAUGCCUUAUCACAAUUAUGCAUAUUUAAUAUUUCAUAAACAUUCACUGUUUCGUAAACAUUCAUGGCAUCACAAACACAUCUUAAUACAACCAUGCACAUUUACUAGUUCAUAAACAUGUCUUAUCAUAUUAGGAUUACGCAUUAUAUCACACAUCGUGCGGCAAGUCCAUGCUCAUACAUCAUAUUUUAGCAUGCUUACACAUUAUAUCAUUAUUAUGCUUAUACAUUAUAUCGCAUUAUGUGGCAAGUCCAUGCUCACAUGAAAUCACAAUACUUAUCACUUAUCACAUAUCAUAUUACAUAUAUCAUAUCAGUGGCAUAAAUCUCAAACCAUAAAAAAUUUCACUCUACAACCAAAAGCAACGUUAAAGAGGUCUCACAUAUCUUUCAUUUGAAUCAAAUUUGAACUCAUUUGGACAUAUAAAAGGUCUCACAUAUCUUGCAUUUGAAUCAAAUUUGAACUCAUUUGGACAUAUAAAAGGUCUCACAUAUCUUUCAUUUGAAUCAAAUUUGAACUCAUUUGGACAUAUAAAAGUUGAUGAAAAGUGCAAUGCACAGAGAGUGUAGUUUUAUGAAAUCUCAUAAUUUCAAGUGACACUCUUUUGGAAAAUGUAAUUUGUUUCCCAAUUCAUUAAGAAUCUCACUCUACAACCUAAAGAAAAAUUGAAGAGAAUACAUCCAUCUUUCAUUUGAAUCAAAUUGAACUCAUUUUGAUAUAUAAAAGUCGGUGAAAAGUGCAAUUUACAAAGAAUACAGAUUUCUGGAAAAUUGCAUGAAUUCUUAACCAAAUUUAGACAACAUAACUCCUUCCCUAUUUCACAAACAUAUGCAUAAUCACAUUUCAAUUUCAUGUUCUUACCAACAAAUCAAGUAUGAAUCACUAAAAAAACACAAAUCAAUUUCAUACUUUAGCAAUAGAUUGAACAUGCAUCACACAGGGCAUGAAAGCAUGGGGAAGAUCCUACUUACCUGCACUAUAGGAUUCUAAAUCCCUUCCCUUGUCAAGCUCCUUAGAGUGGCUUCAGUGUCUAAAGUUCUAAAGUCUAAAGGGGAAA